UACGUAGGGCGCAAGCGUUAUCCGGAAUUAUUGGGCGUAAAGAGCUCGUAGGCGGUUUGUCGCGUCUGCCGUGAAAGUCCGGGGCUCAACUCCGGAUCUGCGGUGGGUACGGGCAGACUAGAGUGAUGUAGGGGAGACUGGAAUUCCUGGUGUAGCGGUGAAAUGCGCAGCUAUCAGGAGGAACACCGAUGGCGAAGGCGGUUCUCUGGGCCUGUACUGACGGCUGAGGAGCGAAAGCGUGGGGAGCGAACAGG
rnacentral:rRNA from 1 species